CCUACGGGAGGCAGCAGUGAGGAAUAUUGGUCAAUGGACGAGAGCCUGAACCAGCCAAGUAGCGUGAAGGAUGACUGCCCUAUGGGUUGUAAACUUCUUUUAUAAAGGAAUAAAACGAGCCACGUGUGCCUUUUUGCAAGUACUCUAUGAAUAAGGAUCGGCUAACUCCGUGCCAGCAGCCGCGGUAAUACGGAGGAUACGAGCGUUAUCCGGAUUUAUUGGGUUUAAAGGGCGCGUAGAUGGGUUGUUAAGUCAGUUGUGAAAGUUUGGGGCUCAACCGUAAAAGUGCAAUUGAUACUGGCAGUCUUGAGUACAGGUGAGGUAGGCGGAAUUCGUGGUGUAGCGGUGAAAUGCUUAGAUAUCACGAAGAACCCCGAUUGCGAAGGCAGCUUACUAAACUGUGACUGACAUUGAUGCUCGAAAGUGUGGGUAUCGAACAGGAUUAGAUACCCGAGUAGUC
rnacentral:rRNA from 1 species